rnacentral:rRNA from 1 species
GACGAACGCUGGCGGCGUGCUUAACACAUGCAAGUCGAACGGUAAGGCCCUUCGGGGUACACGAGUGGCGAACGGGUGAGUAACCCGUGGGUGAUCUGCCCUCCACCUUGGGAUAAGCAUGGGGAACUGGGUCUAAUACCGGAUAGUACCAUGGACUUCACGGUUCGUGGUGGAAAGAUCUUGCGGAGUGGGAUGGGCCCGCGGCCUAUCAGCUUGUGGGUGGGGUAAUGGCCGACGAAGGGGACGACGGGUAGCCGGCCUGAGAGGGUGUCCGGCCACACUGGGACUGUGAUACGGCCCAGACGCCUACGGGAGGCAGCAGUGGGGAAUAUUGCACAAUGGGCGCAAGCCUGAUGCAGCGACGCCGCGUGGGGGAUGACGGCCUUCGGGUUGUAAACCUCUUUCAGUGGGGACGAAGCGCAAGUGACGGUACCUACAGAAGAAGCACCGGCCAACUACGUGCCAGCCGCCGCCGUAA